UAACGGCGAGUGAAGCGGCAACAGCUCAAAUUUGAAAUCUGGCUUCGGCCCGAGUUGUAAUUUGUAGAGGAUGCUUUUGGUGAGGUGCCUUCUGAGUUCCCUGGAACGGGACGCCAGAGAGGGUGAGAGCCCCGUAUAGUCGGCCACCGAUCCUUUGUAAAGCUCCUUCGACGAGUCGAGUAGUUUGGGAAUGCUGCUCAAAAUGGGAGGUAUAUCUCUUCUAAAGCUAAAUAUAGGCCAGAGACCGAUAGCGCACAAGUAGAGUGAUCGAAAGAUGAAAAGCACUUUGAAAAGAGGGUUAAAUAGCACGUGAAAUUGUUGAAAGGGAAGCGCUUGUGACCAGACUUGUGCCGGGCUGAUCAUCCAGUAUUCUCACUGGUGCACUCGACCCGGCUCAGGCCAGCGUCGGUUUUCGUGGGGGGAUAAAAGCUUCGGGAACGUGGCACCUUCGGGUGUGUUAUAGCCCGUUGCUUAAUACCUCCGUGGAGACCGAGGUUCGCGCUCUGCAAGGACGCUGGCAUAAUGGUCAUCAGCGACCCGUCUUGAAACACGGACCAAGGAGUCGAGGUUUUGCGCGAGUGUUUGGGUGUAAAACCCGCACGCGUAAUGAAAGUGAACGUAGGUGAGAGCUUCGGCGCAUCAUCGACCGAUCCUGAUGUAUUCGGAUGGAUUUGAGUAAGAGCGUAAAGCCUCG
rnacentral:rRNA from 1 species